AUUCUGAAUGGAGUGACACAUAAUCUUUCGCUGGAUAUUCACUUAAUGGACCUCAGAUUUUUUGGAGCUCGUCAUUCUUAAUUUACGAUCUUCCCUUCCUAGACAUGUUGAACAGGAUGAUGAGCCCGUGGAGGUUAAUCAUGUGGAUGAGUAGCAGGCAGAAAGGAAUUGUUAUUUAGCUUCUGCCCUUCAGUUACAAACUUACUAUUUCUUCCAAUUCAAUGGGCUACCUCAUUCCUUAGUUAGCAUCAA